AACGAACGCUGGCGGCAUGCCUAACGCAUGCAAGUCGAACGAAGGCUUCGGCCUUAGUGGCGCACGGGUGCGUAACGCGUGGGAAUCUGCCCCUCGGUUCGGAAUAACAGUUAGAAAUGACUGCUAAUACCGGAUGAUGACUUCGGUCCAAAGAUUUAUCGCCGAGGGAUGAGCCCGCGUAAGAUUAGGUAGUUGGUGGGGUAAAGGCCUACCAAGCCGACGAUCUUUAGCUGGUCUGAGAGGAUGAUCAGCCACACUGGGACUGAGACACGGCCCAGACUCCUUCGGGAGGCAGCAGUGGGGAAUAUUGGAUAAUGGGCGUAAGCCUGAUCCAGCAAUUCCGCGUGAGUGAUUAAGGCCUUAUGGUUGUAAAGCUCUUUGAUUGGAGACAAUAAUGAUGGUAUCCAAAGAACAAGCCCCGGCUAACUCUGUGCCAGCAGCCGCCGAAA
rnacentral:rRNA from 1 species